rnacentral:sRNA from 1 species
AACGUGGCAUUAUAUUUUAGU